UAAGCGGAGGAAAAGAAACUAACAAGGAUUCCCCUAGUAACUGCGAGUGAAGCGGGAAAAGCUCAAAUUUAAAAUCUGGCGGUCUUUGGCCGUCCGAGUUGUAAUUUAGAGAAGCGUCUUCCGCGCCGACCGUGCACAAGUCUCCUGGAAUGGAGCGUCAUAGAGGGUGAGAAUCCCGUCUUUGGCACGGAUGCCCGGUGCUUCUGUGAUGCGCUCUCGAAGAGUCGAGUUGUUUGGGAAUGCAGCUCAAAAUGGGUGGUGAACUCCAUCUAAAGCUAAAUAUUGGCGAGAGACCGAUAGCGAACAAGUACCGUGAGGGAAAGAUGAAAAGCACUUUGGAAAGAGAGUGAAACAGUACGUGAAAUUGUUGAAAGGGAAACGCUUGAAGUCAGUCGCGUCGACCGAGACUCAGCCUUGCCUCGGCUUGGUGUACUUCUCGGCCCGACGGGUCAGCGUCAAUUUUGCUCCUCGGAUAAUGGCAAGGGAAAGGUGGCACCUUUACGGGUGUGUUAUAGUCUCCUGUCGCAUGCGAGGGUUGGGAUUGAGGAACUCAGCGCGCACCUUGGUGUCGGGGCUUCGGCCCACGUCACGCGCUUAGGAUGCUGGCGUAAUGGCUUUAAACGACC
rnacentral:rRNA from 2 species